GUUUGAUCCUGGCUCAGGAUGAACGCUAGCGGCAGGCUUAAUACAUGCAAGUCAAGGGGGUAGCAAUACUACCGGCGCACGGGUGAGUAACACGUACAUAACAUACCAUAUACUGGGGUAUAGCUUUGGGAAACUGAAGGUAAUCCCCCAUAACAUUGCGAGAGGGCAUCUGAUUGCAAUUAAAGUUUCGACGGUAUAUGAUUGAUGUGCGUUUGAUUAGCUUGUUGGUAGGGUAACGGCCUACCAAGGCGACGAUCAAUAGCUGGCGUGAGAGCGCGACCAGCCACACUGGAACUGAGACACGGUCCAGACUCCUACGGGAGGCAGCAGUAGGGAAUAUUGGACAAUGGGCGAAAGCCUGAUCCAGCCAUGCCGCGUGAUAGAUGAAGGCCCUCUGGGUUGUAAAUAUCUUUUAUCUGGGAAGAAACAAUCUUAUUCUUAAGAUCUUGACGGUACCAGAGGAAUAAGCACCGGCUAACUCCGUG
rnacentral:rRNA from 1 species